AGCCACAUGAUUUAUAUUUCUCCACAGGGACGUACCAUGUAGUCUUUAUCGUAUUUGUGCUUGGGAAAGACUUCGCUGUUGCUGGCCAUGUCAGCAAGGUCAGAAAUCUACAUUACGUGAUGAUGAUGCUAAUGGGUCGCAAAAAGGCUCCAAAGAAACAAAUACUGUUGUUUUUUGAAAACACUGCGAAAAGACAAGGGCUGAACAAAACACACUUCUUCCGCCCUAGAUGUGAUGAUUCCUGUGGCACGUGCAAAGUAUCUUAAUGCAUUGAGAAGUACCACAGAGUCUACACAGGACCUGGGACUACUGCACUCACCCUGUCCAUCUCUACAUACAAUGCCAGGUGCCAAAAAAAGGGCACACCUGCAUGUCCCUGUAAUGCCUCAGUUUUUAGUAAAGGUGGUUGAUAUUC